CUAUACAUGCAAGUCGAGCGAACAGACGAGGAGCUUGCUCCUUUGACGUUAGCGGCGGACGGGUGAGUAACACGUAGGUAACCUACCUAUAAGACUGGGAUAACUUCGGGAAACCGGAGCUAAUACCGGAUAAUAUUUCGAACCGCAUGGUUCGAUAGUGAAAGAUGGCUUUGCUAUCACUUAUAGAUGGACCUGCGCCGUAUUAGCUAGUUGGUAAGGUAACGGCUUACCAAGGCAACGAUACGUAGCCGACCUGAGAGGGUGAUCGGCCACACUGGAACUGAGACACGGUCCAGACUCCUACGGGAGGCAGCAGUAGGGAAUCUUCCGCAAUGGGCGAAAGCCUGACGGAGCAACGCCGCGUGAGUGAUGAAGGUCUUCGGAUCGUAAAACUCUGUUAUUAGGGAAGAACAAACGUGUAAGUAACUGUGCACGUCUUGACGGUACCUAAUCAGAAAGCCACGGCUAACUACGUGCCAGCAGCGGCCGGUAAUAAA
rnacentral:rRNA from 1 species